GACGAACGCUGGCGGCGUGCCUAAUACAUGCAAGUAGAACGCAGUUGCGAACGGGUGAGUAACGCGUAGGUAACUUCCUCAUAGCGGGGGAUAACUAUUUGAAACGAUAGCUAAUACCGCCUACUUUGCUAUGGACCUGCGUUGUAUUAGCUCGUUGGUGAGGUAAAGGCUCACCAAGGCGACGAUACAUAGCCGACCUGAGAGGGUGAGCGGCCAAACUGGGACGGAGAAACGGCCCAGACUACUACGGGAGGCAGCAGUAGGGAAUCUUAGGAAAUGGACGGAAGUCUGACCGAGCAACGCCGCGUGAGUGAAGAAGGUUUUAGGAUCGUAAAGCUCUGUUGUUAGAGAAGCGGUAACUAAACAGAAAGGGACGGCUAACUACGUGCCAGCAGCCGCGGUAAUUC
rnacentral:rRNA from 1 species